rnacentral:rRNA from 1 species
CCUACGGGAGGCUGCAGUGGGGAAUAUUGCACAAUGGGCGCAAGCCUGAUGCAGCGACGCCGCGUGAGCGAAGAAGUAUUUCGGUAUGUAAAGCUCUAUCAGCAGGGAAGAAAAUGACGGUACCUGACUAAGAAGCCCCGGCUAACUACGUGCCAGCAGCCGCGGUAAUACGUAUGGAGCAAGCGUUAUCCGGAAUUACUGGGUGUAAAGGGAGCGUAGACGGAUGUGCAAGUCUGAUGUGAAAGGUGGGGGCUCAACCCCUGGACUGCAUUGGAAACUGUAAAUCUGGAGUUCAGGAGAGGUAAGCGGAAUUCCUAGUGUAGCGGUGAAAUGCGUAGAUAUUAGGAGGAACACCAGUGGCGAAGGCGGCCUACUGGACGGUGACUGACGCUGAGGCUCGAAAGCGUGGGGAGCAAACAGGAUUAGAUACCCGAGUAGUC